rnacentral:rRNA from 1 species
GUGGGGAAUAUUCCGCAAUGGACGAAAGUCUGACGGAGCAACGCCGCGUGAGUGAUGAAGGUUUUCGGACUGUAAAGCUCUGUUGUUUAGGACGAAAGUGCCUGUUGCAAAUAGUUACAGGUAUUGACGGUACUGAACGAGGAAGCCACGGCUAACUACGUGCCAGCAGCCGCGGUAAUACGUAGGUGGCAAGCGUUGUCCGGAAUUAUUGGGCGUAAAGAGCAUGUAGGCGGGAAUCUCAGUCUGUUGUGAAAAUGCGGGGCUCAACCCCGUAGUGCGAUGGAAACUGGGUUUCUUGAGUGCAGGAGAGGAAAGGGGAAUUCCCAGUGUAGCGGUGAAAUGCGUAGAUAUUGGGAGGAACACCAGUGGCGAAGGCGCCUUUCUGGACUGUGUCUGACGCUGAGAUGCGAAAGCCAGGGUAGCGAACGUGAUUAGAAACCCCAGUAGUCC